rnacentral:rRNA from 1 species
AGAGCGAACGCUGGCGGCAGGCCUAACACAUGCAAGUCGAACGGACCCUUCGGGGUUAGUGGCGGACGGGUGAGUAACACGUGGGAACGUGCCUUUAGGUUCGGAAUAGCUCCUGGAAACGGGUGGUAAUGCCGAAUGUGCCCUUCGGGGGGAAAGAUUUAUCGCCUUUAGAGCGGCCCGCGUCUGAUUAGCUUGUUGGUGAGGUAAUGGCUCACCAAGGCUACGAUCAGUAGCUGGUCUGAGAGGAUGACCAGCCACAUUGGGACUGAGACACGGCCCAAACUCCUACGGGAGGCAGCAGUGGGAAUCUUGCGCAAUGGGCGAAAGCCUGACGCAGCCAUGCCGCGUGUAUGAUGAAGGUCUUAGGAUUAGUAAAAUCUUUCACCGGUGAAGAUAAUGACUGUAGCCGGAGAAGAAGCCCCGGAUAACUUCGUGCCAGCAAGCCGA